CGCUCUGAUGGCCUUGUGGUUAGAGGAUCUGCCUUGGAUGUGGGAGGUUGUGGGUUCAAUCCCCAGUCGAGUCA